CAUGCAAGUUGAGCGCUGAAGGUUGGUACUUGUACCAACUGGAUGAGCAGCGAACGGGUGAGUAACGCGUGGGGAAUCUGCCUUUGAGCGGGGGACAACAUUUGGAAACGAAUGCUAAUACCGCAUAAAAACUUUAAACACAAGUUUUAAGUUUGAAAGAUGCAAUUGCAUCACUCAAAGAUGAUCCCGCGUUGUAUUAGCUAGUUGGUGAGGUAAAGGCUCACCAAGGCGAUGAUACAUAGCCGACCUGAGAGGGUGAUCGGCCACAUUGGGACUGAGACACGGCCCAAACUCCUACGGGAGGCAGCAGUAGGGAAUCUUCGGCAAUGGACGAAAGUCUGACCGAGCAACGCCGCGUGAGUGAAGAAGGUUUUCGGAUCGUAAAACUCUGUUGGUAGAGAAGAACGUUGGUGAGAGUGGAAAGCUCAUCAAGUGACGGUAACUACCCAGAAAGGGACGGCUAACUACGUGCCAGCAGCCGCGGUAAUACGUAGGUCCCGAGCGUUGUCCGGAUUUAUUGGGCGUAAAGCGAGCGCAGGUGGUUUAUUAAGUCUGGUGUAAAAGGCAGUGGCUCAACCAUUGUAUGCAUUGGAAACUGGUAGACUUGAGUGCAGGAGAGGAGAGUGGAAUUCCAUGUGUAGCGGUGAAAUGCGUAGAUAUAUGGAGGAACACCGGUGGCGAAAGCGGCUCUCUGGCCUGUAACUGACACUGAGGCUCGAAAGCGUGGGGAGCAAACAGGAUUAGAUACCCUGGUAGU
rnacentral:rRNA from 1 species